UGCAAUGAUGAUUUACGAGACUAGAGUCUCUGAUUUUCAAAAUGAAGCUCUUUCACAGUGCACUGAGCA
ensembl:snoRNA